rnacentral:rRNA from 1 species
GACGAACGCUGGCGGCGCGCCUAACACAUGCAAGUCGAACGAGCGAGAGAGAGCUUUGCUUUUCUCGAGCGAGUGGCGAACGGGUGAGUAACGCGUGAGGAACCUGCCUCAAAGAGGGGGACAACAGUUGGAAACGACUGCUAAUACCGCAUAAGCCCUGAGGGGGAAAGAUUUAUCGCCGAAAGAACGGCCCGCGGAAGAUUAGGUAGUUGGUGGGGUAACGGCCUACCAAGCCGACGAUCUAUAGCUGGUCUGAGAGGACGAUCAGCCACAUUGGAACUGAGACACGGUCCAA